rnacentral:misc_RNA from 1 species
GCUUUAGCAAGAAAGGAAAGCUUUAUCCUUUGCCUUUCAUUACACUAUGGCCAUCCUCAAAAAAGUAGCCUGCCUGUGCAUGAUAAUGCUAGUAGUGGUGGGUCUUCUCUUCACAAUGGGACAAGCACAGAAUUUGUGUUCAGGAUUCGAUCGUCCUGGAGCAUGCCCUAUCAACUGUUUUCGCCCAGAUCCCGUCUGCGGGGCUAAUGGGGUGACUUACUGGUGUGGCUGCCCUGAUGCUGCCUGCGCCGGUGUUCCAGUUGUCAAGUUAGAGGCUUGUUAAUGGUCUCAACUGGGCUCUCUUAUAUGGGUUCUCUCAGUUGCUUCUGUUCCUCUUAAUUUCCCCAGUUGCCUUGUGUGUGAAAAACAACUGCUGUUGUAUACUUGUAUUUGUGCACUCUGGCUUACCUAAUAAGAAGGUUACGUUGGUG